GGAGAGGUGUCCGAGCUGGCCGAAGGAGCACGCCUGGAAAGUGUGUAUAGGUAACCCCUAUCCUGGGUUCGAAUCCCAGCCUCUCCGCCA
rnacentral:tRNA from 1 species